GAUGAACGCUGGCGGCGUGCCUAAUACAUGCAAGUCGAGCGAACAGACGAGGAGCUUGCUCCUCUGACGUUAGCGGCGGACGGGUGAGUAACACGUGGAUAACCUACCUAUAAGACUGGGAUAACUUCGGGAAACCGGAGCUAAUACCGGAUAAUAUAUUGAACCGCAUGGUUCAAUAGUGAAAGACGGUUUUGCUGUCACUUAUAGAUGGAUCCGCGCCGCAUUAGCUAGUUGGUAAGGUAACGGCUUACCAAGGCAACGAUGCGUAGCCGACCUGAGAGGGUGAUCGGCAACACUGGAACUGAGACACGGUCCAGACUCCUACGGGAGGCAGCAGUAGGGAAUCUUCCGCAAUGGGCGAAAGCCUGACGGAGCAACGCAGCGUGAGUGAUGAAGGUCUUCGGAUCGUAAAACUCUGUUAUUAGGGAAGAACAAAUGUGUAAGUAACUAUGCACGUCUUGACGGUACCUAAUCAGAAAGCCACGGCUAACUACGUG
rnacentral:rRNA from 1 species